CUACCCUUCUCCCAUCCCAUUCUCCCUGGCGGCGGCUCCACACCCUCCUCUCCCGUCAGGCAGAUCGCUCCCCUCUUCUCUUUCUGGUCGAUGAGCGCCUCUGUGUAUCCUCCGCCGUCAAUCGUUGCUGCAACACGGAGAGGAGGUGGCUGAGGAAUGGGGGCAGAUGGCAUCUACUCUGCUUCCUGAUUCGCCACCGCUCUGAUGCCGCCGCCGACAGAGCAGGUCUACACAAGCAACCUAGGAAGGCCACCGACAGACGCCGCUCCUCGUCGAUUCGUCCGCUGCUUUGGUGAAACCAAUACUAAUUCCAGUUCAUUUAACCCGGCCCCUUUUGAGUUCAUAUUGGCAAGUUGAUGGUUACUGAUCAUCUUUCGAAUGCUUUUUGGUAUCGUUGGGUGAAAGCGGUAAAGCUAAUGUUGAUCCAGAAAGUUUUUCUCAUAUUGACGACGUGGUGGUAUCUUUAUUCGUACAUCUAUCGAACACACUUUUCAGACUAAUUGUUGCUGUAUUUGACUCUGGAAGUGUCCAGAUAUGUUAUUUGGGAUCUCUGACGCUCCAUUAUUUUUAGGUUGAUGGAUAUCAUAACAAUGAGGAAGCGACAUAGUACGAAAGUAUUAUUGGGAAGAAUCUCUAGCAACAUGAGGUAGUUCUUAGUCUGACUAGAGGGUCUACUGUCUGUUUCUUUCUAACUUUCUUUUACAAGAACAAGCUACAAAGAGUUAGAGAUGUUGGCCCUGGAGACGUACAAUAUGAGAGACGGAGACUUAAUGAGGACACAAAGAACUCCACACCUGCUGAAACACCAUAAGAAGAAACAUAUGGGACUUGGGUAAACAUCAAUGUCGAAGCAGUUGAUGGGUUGUACAAUUUAUGU